UCUCCUCGCUUGACACCCCCACCCCGGCCGCUGAAGGCCCGGCGCCCGGCGCUGUAGGUGCGUCCCAACAAGUGACCCCCUAGGCACACAGUCUGCGCUCCGUCUCGCAGGGAGGAGAAGCGUCCCUUCCCCUCCUGGCCACACUCCUGCGGGAAGAGGGCAAGACUGGCUUCUCGGCGGAGAAAGCACUUCCAGGCAGUGUGCGAUCCUGGUGGUGGGGGCGGUGGGGGGUGUCCGCCCCGCCUACCCACACCCUCCCCUGCCUCCUCCCGAGUCUCCCCAAACUCUGGCCUUGGGCGCCCUCUGGUGUCUCCUGUCCCACCUUGCGGUCAUGUACCAGAACUCCCGAAGGGCGUUUUGUAAAAUAAAGAAACUAUAAUAAUAAUGAAAAGUAUAAAAUGUAUAGAGUUUUCAAGAAACUGUGUUCUACUUCCAGAAAAUGGUCACUUUAACUUUGUAAAUAUUUAUCUAAAAUGAUAUUUACGAAACUGUGAUAUAUAUUAUUUGAUUGUAUAUGUACAACUGUAAAUACAUUUGUACCUCUCUUGUAUUCUAAAAUAAAAAUUACUUGGAACAUUUA